ensembl:lncRNA
GUUAAAGUCGAAACCAAUUGAUCAUCGAUAUUCUCACGUUUAUCGCAUCUGUGGUCUUUCCAUGACUGUUUUCGACACAGUCGUACAUAGUACGCCAUCGUUUAAUCGAAUAAUAUUGCUGUUAAUGUGUGGUUUGUGUAUAUGUAUAAAUAUAGCGUGUUAAAAUAAUUCUCCAUCCAUCCAGCCAUCCAUCAGUGAUUCGGUGUUCGUCUGUGUAUGUCUGUGUGUAACAUGACAUUUGAAAGUAGCUACUAGUUUAUUUUGCCACAUUAACACAGUAAACAGAUACCGAUUUUAUGUUAACAUGCAUGAAGCGCACAUUCAUGUGGCAUCACGUGACGUAGUUUUGUAUGUUAUGUAUCAUGUACUUCCGGUGAGGUUUUGUAACAAUGAUUGUGCGCUUAUGUAAUUAUUCACAGCUGCACAAUAAAGACUGGGUUUGUUCGUUAACUGCAGCGGAUCUCAUUAUUUACAAUGACUGAGGUCAGGCGAGCCAUCUCUGAAGCGCUGUGGGGAAUGUGUGCAGCGGAUGCCAUGUCGAUGCCCGUCCACUGGUACUACAACACACAAGAAAUCAGGAGGGACUUCAGUGGCUGGAUCACUGGAUUCACUGCACCGCGGUGCAGACACCCGUCCAGCAUCCUAAGCCUGUCCAGCACAGCUGGCAGUGGACGCAGAGCCGGAUCAACCGGAACCGCAGCUCCUGUGGUGGGGAACGUGAUUCUGCAUGAUAAGCUGAAGUUCUGGACGGAUCCACGUGGAUCAGUGCACUACCAUCAGGGUCUUCACGCGGGUGGAAACACGCUGAACACUCUCUGUGCUCUGAGAGUUGCACGCAUUCUGUCCACUGGUGCUUUUGUUAGUAUGGCUGAUCCUGAAGCACGAGCCGCUGUACUGUCGGAUUACAUAGAGUUCAUGACGCGUCCCGGCGCACACAACGACACAUACGCCGAGUCUUUCCAUAGAAGCUUCUUCUCUGACUGGCAGGAACUCAGACCUACGUCCUCUAGAGAGGUUCUGGAGUUUGCGGAGCAGCGCUCCAAAUGCAUGUUGAGCACAUCCCGUGCUGAUAGCCAGCUGAAUGCUAUAGGAUGUCUUCCCAUGGCCAUUCCCUUUGUCCUGCUGUCUGCCACAGCCAAUGAGGAGAAAGCAGUGUGA